CUCCUACGGGAGGCAGCAGUGGGGAAUCUUGCACAAUGGACGAAAGUCUGAUGCAGCGACGCCGCGUGAGCGAUGAAGCCCUUCGGGGUGUAAAGCUCUUUCGACAGGAACGAUAAUGACGGUACCUGGAGAAGAAGCUGCGGCUAACUACGUGCCAGCAGCCGCGGUAAUACGUAGGCAGCAAGCGCUGUUCGGAAUUACUGGGCGUAAAGCGUGCGUAGGCGGUGCUUCAAGUUUGGUGUGAAAUCUCCCGGCUCAACCGGGAGGGUGCGCCGAAAACUGAGGCGCUCGAGUGUGGGAGAGGUAGGCGGAAUUCCUGGUGUAGCGGUGAAAUGCGUAGAUAUCAGGAGGAACACCGGCGGUGUAGACGGCUUACUGGACCAUUACUGACGCUGAGGCACGAAAGUGUGGGGAGCAAACAGGAUUAGAUACCCUGGUAGUCCACACCCUAAACGAUGCAUACUUGGUGUGAGCCAUUCAUUUGGUUCGUGCCGGAGCUAACGCGUUAAGUAUGCCGC
rnacentral:rRNA from 1 species